rnacentral:lncRNA from 1 species
CUUCUGAAAAGUUCUCAGGCAACUAGGUCAAAAGGAAACUCACCCGCGGGCACGCGCGCCCCGUCCCACUGCCACCUGCGCCCGGCUUUGGGGCGCCUGGACAUCUGGGGCCGGACCCUGGCUACUUACAGCGGAUUGCUGCCUCCUCUGCUCCCGCCAAGACCUUCCUUAGGCUCGCAGCCAACUCCCUGUACUACUAGGCAGAAGAAAGUGUGUUCUAGCAGUCAACUUCUCUCUCAGGAGCCCACCCGAGUCCUCGUCAGCCCACGGCAGGGCCAGUUCGACCCAGUACCUAGAGCGCUUUUCUCUCCCGUUCUGACUGCACCGCCUGGAACGUUUCACCCUCACUCUGCUCACCUGAGGGAAUCCCAACAACGUCUAGGAUGGCUCAGCAAGGACUGCCUCCUCCUCCUGGAAGCCUUCGUGGAAGCUCGACCCUCCCCCUCCCAGCCCCGCUCCCGCUGCAUUCUGGGUUCUUCUGACUGUCCUAGAUGAAUGCUGUCAGUGGCUAGUCCAACCCUCAGGAUUCCAUUCUCCCCUCCCCCGGGUGUAGUAGGGAGGUGACCUUCUGUCCUGCCUAAAUGGCACCGAGGGUGGGGAGGAUGACGGGCCCUUUCUUCAGUCUUCAGUCCUGGAUGUACAUGUGUACAGAGGACAAGCAGAGUGGGGGUGGGGGAGUCAGCCUGCCCUUUAUCUGUGGUAAUCUGGGGUCUGAGAUCCUCAACACACAGCUUUGGUACACAGAAGCUGCCGGGUGGCUGAGUCUGCUCAGGAAAUAGUCUACAGGGCUAGCUGAAGAAGCAUGUAGCUCAAUGGUAGGGCACUUUCUCAGCAUGUGAAAAGCUCUAAGUUUAAACCCCAUUUUGAGAACAAAACAUGGCAGAUCCGUGGUGGUGCAGGCCUUUAACUCCAGCAUUCAGGAGGCAGAGGCUGGGGAACCUGAGUUCCGGGCAGCCUGGUCUACAGAGCAAGUUCCAGGACGGCCAGGGCUACACAGAGAAACUCGAAAACAAAACAUGACCUGGCAUGGUGUUGCACACUUUUAAUCCCAACACUCAAGAGGCAGAGGCAGGGGGAUCUCUGUGAGUUCAAGGUCUACAUAGUGACUUCCAAGAAAGCCAGGGCUACGUAUCUCAAAAAAACAAAAACAAACAAAAAAACCAAACCAACAACAACAGAACACCACACACCAGCGAACUGCGCAUCCGUCGUCUAUGGAGGUGACAUAGAUUUCAGGGCUGUCCCUCCAGGCCCCACAUUUCCCUACCACCAGAUUCAGCCCUUGCUUCCUUUGCCUGCAGAUUUACCGUUCUUGAUGACCCAACAAUCUUGACACCACCGCUCUUCCUCCUUCACCAGCAGAGGGGUUUUAGAGACUGGGUCUCAUGUACCCCAGACUGGCCUUCAUAGAUUUUUUUUUUUUUUUUUGGGUUUUGGUUUUUCGAGACAGGGUUUCUCUGUAUACCCCUUGCUGUCCUGGAACUCACUUUGUAGACCAGGCUGGCCUCGAACUCAGAAAUCCGCCUGCCUCUGCCUCCCGAGUGCUGGGAUUAAAGGCGUGCACCACCACGCCUGGCUAGAUUUUUUUAUAUAGUGCUGUGGAUAGAACCCAGGACUUUGUGGAUGUUAGGCAAGCGCUCUAUAGACCGAGCUACCUCUCCAGCCCAGAAGCAGGGCUCAGAUGAGGCCUACAGCAAUGUUUUUCCAGCUCCUGCUUCCAAUGCAUAAAAUGGGAGCAUUGGACCAGCGAGCCCAUCCAGCUGCAACAUUCUUUGCCUCCGAUUCUGCAAGAUGCUGAUGAGGGAGCUGAGCAGGGCUGGACUCUGGAGUUAAUGAGGUUCUCUGGAGCUACCUAGGCUUGCAUCCUGCUAGGCUCUGUAUCCAGGAAACCAGACAAGGCUGAAAACCAGGGCAGGGGCUUGGCAAGGUCUGUACUGGGGGCUGAGAGAGGGGAACCUGACGGGCGAGGGAGCCUGGUGAGCAGGAGGAGGAGGAGAUUAAAGGGGAAAUAUAAUCAAAUAAGUGAUGUAUUUCUGCAGAAAAGCUUCUCCCUGUCCUGGGAUAGCUCACCAGAUGUUGCCCAGAUGUUGCUGGUGAUGGGAAACAUCUCCCUCAGGGAUCUCAUCUGAACUCUUCCUGUUGGUGGGGAAUGAAGUAUCUGUUCCAAGGCAGGCAGGGUCGGGUGUGGAGCACUCAUCUGUAAAUAUGGCGCACGCGCACACACACACACACACAGAGUCUCUCUCUCUCUGGCAAAAACACCCCCAUAUUCUCAAUCCUCAGGGAAUUCUGAAUACUUGGAGACCUGUAAGUACUAAGGACCACCCACCCAUCCACUUACUUAGGAAAAUUAAAAUUAUUACAAGUUUUGAGGGCUUUUAUUGGGGGGGGGCAGAGUUUUUCAGUGUAACCCUAAUUAUCCUGGAACUCGAUCUAUAGACCAGGCUGGCUUCAAACUCCAGGAUCUGCCUGCUUCUGUCUCCAAGUGCUGGGAUUAAAGGUGUGCACCACCACUGCCUGGGUUAGUAAUACUCUUUGGAAUGCGCUGAGAGGUAUUUUGGGUGGAAUAACCCCUAGGAACAGCAGCCACUACACGCCGGAGAAGCCGGUUAAGGAGAUCCAACAACUCUUACUGUUAUAGGCUUUACAGGUAAGAAGUCUUGAGUUAAGGGGGGGGGGGGUUCUGAGCUCAGUGGGUUCUCUGCCUUUAUGAGGCUAGUGAAGGUCUAGAUAAAACGUAAGAUGAGGUCUCUGCGGGAACAGGAUCUGUGAUCUGUGACAGCCAGGCUCUGUUCAUGCAAAGGUGUCCUCUUGUACCCCUGUGGGUAGACUUUGCAGAGAGAAGUAGCUGGGGAGACCCUAGUGCCUCUGAGCCACAGUUGGGUAUUGAAGGGAAAGGGGGGCCACAGUCCUAUCUCCUUAGGAGCCUCAGACAGUCUCUUCUGGAGACUCAACCCAGUGACCUCAGCAUCCCUGGAGCAGAUUCUGACCAGCUCCAUGCUGCCUCUUUGGUCUCCUUUAUUUAAAGGGGACCCCCCCCCAUCCCUGCACCCUCCUAGGACUCUCAGCAGCCUAAGGCAGAGCCACUGGAGGCUGGGCCUGAACACUCAACCUCACUGUCCUCUGAAAACUUGAUGAAGGGUGAUUGACUCUAAGAGUCUCCUAGGCUGGCUGAAUUGGCAACCUUGGGCAGCCCCAGCAGCUUCUAUAUCAAGUACUCUACAUGACCCGUUGCCCGUCAACUUUAAGACCCACUGAGCUAAGGGAGAGAAAGAAAAAUUGAUAGGGAGGCUGCCUAUCAGAGUAAGUGGAAGGCUUAAGUGAGUAUCAUAGCUGCAGGCCUGGAUCUCAGCGCUCCAGAGAUGGAACUGGGGAAAUCAGGUGUUUCAGGUCAACCUCAGCUGCAUAGCAAGCCUGAGGUUAGAAAAAAAGGAAAAGGCUGUUUUAUUUUAAGACAGGGUCUCACUGUGCAGCCUGGUAUGUCUUAUUUUCCAGGCUAUAGCCCAACUUCAUCUAUCUGUCUGUCUGUCUGUCUGUCUGUCUCCUAUUGAUUCAUUAGUGCUUUUUUUGUUUUUGUUUUUUGAGAAGGUUGUCUCUGUGUAGUCCUGGCUGUACUGGAACUCCUUCUGUAGACCAGGCUGGGCUCGAACUUGGUGAUCCGCCUGCCUCUGCCUUCAAGUGCUGGGAUUAAAGGCGUAUGCCACCAAUGUCCAGUUGUAGUCCAGCUUUAAAAAUAGGGAGACUUUGUGUAUACAUCUUGUGAGUUUAAAACUCUCUGGGCAGCCGGGCGUGGUGGCACACACCUUUAAUCCCAGC